rnacentral:rRNA from 1 species
CUGCGUCCGAAACUGCCGUGCUCGAGGAAGGCAGAGGUGAGCGGAACUCAGGGUGGAGCGGUGAAAUGCGUUGAUAACCUGGGGAACACCGGUGGCGAAGGCGGCUCACUGGGCCUUUUCUGACGCUGAGGCGCGAAAGCUAGGGUAGCGAACAGGAUUAGAUACCCUGGUAGUCCUAGCUGUAAACGAUGAGCACUAGAUCGAAGGGACUUCCACAUCCUUUCGGUCGUAGCGAAAGUGUUAAGUGCUCCGCCUGGGGAGUAUGGCCGCAAGGCUGAAACUCAAAGGAAUUGACGGGGGCUCACACAAGCGGUGGAGGAUGUGGCUUAAUUCGAGGCUACGCGAAGAACCUUAUCCUAGAUUUGACAUGCUUGGAUGGCUCGCCUGAAAGGGAUGAGUCUGCCUUCGGGUGAAACUAGCACAGGUGCUGCAUGGCUGUCGUCAGCUCGUGUCGUGAGAUGUCGGGUUAAGUCCCUUAACGAGCGAAACCCUUGUCAUUAGUUGCCAGCGCGUUAUGGCGGGGACUCUAAUGAGACUGCCGGCGUUAAACCGGAGGAAGGUGGGGAUGACGUCAAGUCCUCAUGGCCUUUAUGUCUAGGGCUGCACACGUCCUACAAUGCGACGCACAAAGGGAAGCAAACUCGCGAGAGCAAGCAAAUCCCAGAAAACGUCGCCCAGUUCGGAUUGCAGGCUGCAACUCGCCUGCAUGAAGCCGGAAUCGCUAGUAAUCGUGGAUCAGCAUGCCACGGUGAAUAUGUUCCUGAGCCUUGUACACACCGCCCGUCAAGCCACGAAAGCCGGAGGGGCCCGAAGUCGCCGAGCUAACCCGCAAGGGAGGCAGGCGCCGAAGGUCAAUUUGGCGAUUGGGACUAAGUCGUAACAAGGUAACC